GACGAACGCUGGCGGCGUGCUUAACACAUGCAAGUCGAACGGUGAAGCUCCAGCUUGCUGGAGUGGAUCAGUGGCGAACGGGUGAGUAACACGUGAGCAACCUGCCCCUGACUCUGGAAUAAGCGCUGGAAACGGCGUCUAAUACUGGAUACGAGGAGGGUCCGCAUGGGCACUUUCUGGAAAGUUUUUCGGUUGGGGAUGGGCUCGCGGCCUAUCAGCUUGUUGGUGAGGUAAUGGCUCACCAAGGCGACGACGGGUAGCCGGCCUGAGAGGGCGACCGGCCACACUGGGACUGAGACACGGCCCAGACUCCUACGGGAGGCAGCAGUGGGGAAUAUUGCACAAUGGGCGAAAGCCUGAUGCAGCGACGCCGCGUGAGGGAUGACGGCCUUCGGGUUGUAAACCUCUUUCAGCAGGGAAGAAGCGAAAGUGACGUUACCUGCAGAAGAAGCACCGGCUAACUACGUG
rnacentral:rRNA from 1 species